AUGUUUCGACUGGAAGCCCAGGAGGAGCUGGUGGCGGUGGAGGAUGACCUUGUCAAGCGAGCGGCGGCAAUCGCCGAGUACACCAACACCAGCAUCUUCGUCCCGGAGCUGGCCGAGAACGGUGCCGAGGCGCCACCGGAGUGGUUUGGGCUGGACCCGGAGGAUGGCGAGGACUCGGACGAGGUGAUCGACUCCAGCGAUGAGGGAGAAGACGAAGAGGAUGAGGAAGGUGAAGAGGAGGCGCCAGAGGUCGGAGCGGACGGCCAGCCUCAAUUCGACCGCGGCUCCAGCAACGAGCCGCGCCCGAGCGAGCCGGCUGCUGCUGAGGGCGACCAAGCGGAGACCGACCAGCCGGCCUCCCAACCAGCCGGCACCACCGACUCCACCAUUCCGCCGACUCCGUCUGCUGCUUCCUAG
rnacentral:rRNA from 1 species